rnacentral:rRNA from 1 species
AGAGUUUGAUCAUGGCUCAGAUUGAACGCUGGCGGCAUGCCUUACACAUGCAAGUCGAACGGCAGCGGGGACUUCGGUCCGCCGGCGAGUGGCGAACGGGUGAGUAACGUAUCGGAACGUACCUUUCAGUGGGGGAUAACGUAGCGAAAGUUACGCUAAUACCGCAUAUUCUGUGAGCAGGAAAGCAGGGGAUCGCAAGACCUUGCGCUGAUUGAGCGGCCGAUAUCAGAUUAGCUAGUUGGUGAGGUAAAGGCUCACCAAGGCGACGAUCUGUAGCGGGUCUGAGAGGAUGAUCCGCCACACUGGAACUGAGACACGGUCCAGACUCCUACGGGAGGCAGCAGUGGGGAAUUUUGGACAAUGGGGGCAACCCUGAUCCAGCCAUGCCGCGUGAGUGAAGAAGGCCUUCGGGUUGUAAAGCUCUUUCGGCCGGGAAGAAAUCGUAUGGGUUAAUACCCUGUGCGGAUGACGGUACCGGCAUAAGAAGCACCGGCUAACUACGUGCCAGCAGCCGCGGUAAUACGUAGGGUGCGAGCGUUAAUCGGAAUUACUGGGCGUAAAGCGUGCGCAGGCGGUUUUGUAAGACAGGCGUGAAAUCCCCGGGCUCAACCUGGGAACUGCGCUUGUGACUGCAAGGCUAGAGUAUGGCAGAGGGGGGUGGAAUUCCACGUGUAGCAGUGAAAUGCGUAGAGAUGUGGAGGAACACCAAUGGCGAAGGCAGCCCCCUGGGCCAAUACUGACGCUCAUGCACGAAAGCGUGGGUAGCAAACAGGAUUAGAUACCCUGGUAGUCCACGCCCU